GAUGAACGCUGGCGGCGUGCCUAAUACAUGCAAGUAGAACGCUGAAGGAAGGAGCUUGCUCUUUCCGGAUGAGUUGCGAACGGGUGAGUAACGCGUAGGUAACCUGCCUGGUAGCGGGGGAUAACUAUUGGAAACGAUAGCUAAUACCGCAUAACAGUAGAUGUUGCAUGAUAUCUACUUAAAAGGUGCAAUUGCACCACUACCAGAUGGACCUGCGUUGUAUUAGCUAGUUGGUGAGGUAACGGCUCACCAAGGCGACGAUACAUAGCCGACCUGAGAGGGUGAUCGGCCACACUGGGGCUGAGACACGGCCCAGACUCCUACGGGAGGCAGCAGUAGGGAAUCCUCGGCAAUGGACGGAAGUCUGACCGAGCAACGCCGCGUGAGUGAAGAAGGUUUUCGGAUCGUAAAGCUCUGUUGUAAGAGAAGAACGAGUGUGAGAGUGGAAAGUUCACACUGUGACGGUAUCUUACCAAAAAGGGACGGCUAACUACGUG
rnacentral:rRNA from 1 species